rnacentral:tRNA from 1 species
GCAUGGGUAGCCCAACCGGAAGGAGGCGCCUGCCUCAGAAGCAGGACAGUGUGGGUUCGAAUCCCUCUCCAUGCACCA